CCUACGGGAGGCAGCAGUGAGGAAUAUUGGUCAAUGGGCGAGAGCCUGAACCAGCCAAGUCGCGUGAGGGAGUACUGCCCUAUGGGUUGUAAACCUCUUUUGUCGGGGAGCAAAAGCCGGACGUGUCCGGCUGUGAGAGUACCCGAAGAAAAAGCAUAGGCUAACUCCGUGCCAGCAGCGGCGGUAAUACGGAGGAUGCGAGCGUUAUCCGGAUUUAUUGGGUUUAAAGGGUGCGCAGGCGGAUUUUUAAGUCAGCGGUCAAAUCGUGGGGGUCAACCCCAAACAGUCGUUGAAACUGGGGGUCUUGAGUGUGCUAGAGGUGUGCGGAAUUCGUGGUGUAGCGGUGAAAUGCAUAGAUAUCACGCAGAACCCCGAUUGCGAAGGCAGCAUACCGGUGCACAACUGACGCUCAGGCACGAAAGUGUGGGUAUCGAACAGGAUUAGAUACCCCGGUAGUC
rnacentral:rRNA from 1 species